rnacentral:rRNA from 1 species
UACAGAGGUCCCAAGCGUUGUUCGGAUUCACUGGGCGUAAAGGGCGCGUAGGCGGCUCGGCACGUCCGUUGUGAAAUCGCCCGGCUCAACUGGGCGGGGUCGGCGGAUACGGCCGAGCUGGAGCAAGCUAGGGGGUAAUGGAAUUCCCGGUGUAGUGGUGGAAUGCGUAGAUAUCGGGAGGAACACCAGUGGCGAAGGCGGUUACCUGGAGCUUUGCUGACGCUGAUGCGCGAAAGCGUGGGGAGCGAUCCGG